rnacentral:rRNA from 1 species
AGAGUUUGAUCCUGGCUCAGAUUGAACGCUGGCGGCAUGCCUAACACAUGCAAGUCGAACGCGAAAGGGUUUCGGCCUGAGUAGAGUGGCGGACGGGUGAGUAAUGUGUGGGAAUCUGCCCUGCAGUGGGGGACAACCCGGGGAAACCCGGGCUAAUACCGCAUACGUCCUACGGGAGAAAGGGGGGUUUCGGCCUCUCGCUGCAGGAUGAGCCCACAUCCGAUUAGCUAGUUGGUGGGGUAAGGGCCCACCAAGGCGACGAUCGGUAGCUGGUCUGAGAGGAUGAUCAGCCACACUGGGACUGAGACACGGCCCAGACUCCUACGGGAGGCAGCAGUGGGGAAUAUUGGACAAUGGGGGCAACCCUGAUCCAGCAAUGCCGCGUGUGUGAAGAAGGCCUGCGGGUUGUAAAGCACUUUCAGUGGGGAAGAAAAGCCUGGGGCUAAUACCUCUGGGUCUUGACGUUACUCACAGAAGAAGCACCGGCUAACUCCGUGCCAGCAGCCGCGGUAAU